rnacentral:rRNA from 1 species
CCUACGGGUGGCAGCAGUGAGGAAUAUUGGUCAAUGGCCGUAAGGCUGAACCAGCCAAGUCGCGUGAAGGAAGACGGCUCUAUGGGUUGUAAACUUCUUUUAUACGGGAAUAAAGGCAUCUACGUGUGGCUAUUUGCAUGUACCCUAUGAAUAAGCAUCGGCUAACUCCGUGCCAGCAGCCGCGGUAAUACGGAGGAUGCGAGCGUUAUCCGGAUUUAUUGGGUUUAAAGGGUGCGUAGGCUGUUCUUUAAGUCAGCGGUGAAAGUUUGUGGCUCAACCAUAAAAUUGCCGUUGAUACUGGAGGACUUGAGUGUGUUUGAGGUAGGCGGAAUGCGUGGUGUAGCGGUGAAAUGCAUAGAUAUCACGCAGAACUCCGAUUGCGAAGGCAGCUUACUAAGCCAUGACUGACACUGAAGCACGAAAGCGUGGGGAUCAAACAGGAUUAGAUACCCGGGUAGUC